rnacentral:misc_RNA from 1 species
ACCCCGCCUGGGGAGUACGGUCGCAAGAUUAAAACUCAAAGGAAUUGACGGGGACCCGCACAAGCGGUGGAGCAUGUGGUUUAAUUCGAGGCUACGCGAAAAACCUUACCAGCUCUUGACAUCCUGAUCGCCGCGCUUGUAAUGAGCGCUUCAUUUAGUUGGAUCAGAGACAGGUGCUGCAUGGCUGUCGUCAGCUCGUGUCGUGAGAUGUUGGGUUAAGUCCCGCAACGAGCGCAACCCUCAUCAUUAGUUACCAUCAGGUUAAGCUGGGGACUCUAAUGAAACUGCCGGUGACAAGCCGGAGGAAGGUGGGGAUGACGUUCUCUACG